rnacentral:lncRNA from 1 species
CUUGAACUUGUUAUAUUGCUCACUCUGGCCUUGAGUUGCUGAUCCUUCUACCUCAACCUUCCAAUUGUUGAAACCUGAGCAUACAGGUUCAUUUAUUCUCUAAUGAAUGUUUCCCAAGCUCUAUGUAUGUUCUGGGGAUGGACAUAAGUGCUGGGCUAUGAGGAUGGACAAAAUAACAGUAGACAAGAAAGUUCCUAAAGGAAAUGGCCUAGUGGGUAAAGGUGCCUGUUGUGAAAGCAAGAGGGCCCGAGUUCAAAUACUCAGCACCUGAGUAAAAUCUAGGCAUGGCCAUGUGUGCAUGUGACCCUGGUGUGUGUGUGUGUGUGUGUGUGUGUGUGUGUGUGGCAGAGCCUGGCAAGAUCCAGAAGUUUGCUGUCCAGACAGACUAGCUAAGACAAGAGCACUUCAGGUUUAGUGAGAGACCCUGUCUCAGAAAAUAAGGUAGAGAGAAAUAAAGGAAGAUUACUGGCAUCCUCUUCUUGCUUCUACACAGGUUCUUACAAAUGUACACACACACACACACACACACACACACACACACACACACACACACACACACCACACACACACACACACGGACAUGUGGGGGCAGAAAAAGAGACCCUUAAGAAAAGUGGGGUUCUGGGGAAGCAGCUCAGAGGGCUUGUCUAGCAAAUGUAAGGUCCUGGGUCUAACACUCAGCACCACCGAAAGAAAUGACACAGAACCUGUUCUUCACAGCGUAAGAUAUCUAAAUUGAUCUUCUCGUAUGCUGUCCGUAUCUUUUAACCUUUGCACGGUUUGUUCGACACCUAGGAUGUGUUCAGCAUUUUGUUGUCAUCGUGAGACUCAUCUAGCAUCUUCCUGCAAAGAUGUGCUCAAGGGCUGUCAAGGAAGAGCAAGUUUUCCAGCUGGAAGAAAUGGUACUCUGACUGCUCUCCAGCCUAUAGAAAGCUCACUUUUUUUUUUUUUUCAAAAUGGUAGGAACUGCAGCAAGACCAAGAAGGGAGAAAUGGAGCUAGCAAGUAGAGUGCUCUGGGGAACAAGUCAUGAGGGGAGAUGGCAAAGAGACUUGUAACAUGAUAGCAAGCUGUCUGUGUUCUGUGCUGGUAGCAAUGGCACAGCUUUGAAGACAGUGGACAAUGAAUUGGGAGUAGGGGAGAUGACGUUGGGCUAGAGGCUCGCUACACUAACAUAGGUGGGGCCUGUAAUGGUUUGACCCAAAUGAAGAUGAAGUUGGGGUAGUCAUUAGAAGGUCACUACACUAAUUAACAUAGGUGAGACAUAUAAUGGUUUGACCCAAAUGAGGACUGAGAAGAGUUGACUGAUGGCUGGUAUUUCUAUGUAUGGCUUUAAAAGACGAGGGGAUUUGUGUGUUAUACUUGUAACCCCAGCAUUUGAAAGGUAGAGGCAGGAGGAUCAGGAAAUCAAGAUCAUUGGCUACUUAGUGAGUUUGAAGCCAGCCAGGCUGGGUUAUAAGGAAACCCUGUCUCCAAAACCAACCAAACAAAUAAAUAUCAGCCAGAGCCCCCCA